AUAUACACACCAGUGUGUAGUAUAAAGGCGGCGAACUGCAAUAAUAAUAUAUGUUACUGACUGGAAAGUUUGGAAAUUUCGCGCCGGAGAUUUCAAAAAUUCAAUAGUAAAUAUAUUGAAGCAUCAAAAUUGCGCGCCCAAUAUCUGCGACGCGCGAUACAAACUUUAAAUAUAUAAAAUAUAUUAUGUACAAAUUAUCCACUUCCCUCGAUUCUCGAUAACAUAACAGUGAAACGUCGUGAUAACU